ACCAUUAAAAAUAAGGCAUUGCAAGUUUCUCUGCAUCUUUAACCAUGAGAUGGCUACAAGUAGUUGUCUAUGAUGUAACAGACCAUCCAAGCUUGCUCUACAACUACAACAACAAGAACAAAAAUGCAUCACCUCCAUCGAUCUCUCUCUAAACUCUUUAGGUGCAUCUCGCACAGACAGUCAUCAUAGCCUCCUUGAGCCCCUGGCCGCCUCUUCGGGCCCUCCACCC
rnacentral:lncRNA from 1 species